GGCGGACGGGUGAGUAAUGUCUGGGAAACUGCCUGAUGGAGGGGGAUAACUACUGGAAACGGUAGCUAAUACCGCAUAACGUCGCAAGACCAAAGUGGGGGACCUUCGGGCCUCAUGCCAUCAGAUGUGCCCAGAUGGGAUUAGCUAGUAGGUGGGGUAACGGCUCACCUAGGCGACGAUCCCUAGCUGGUCUGAGAGGAUGACCAGCCACACUGGAACUGAGACACGGUCCAGACUCCUACGGGAGGCAGCAGUGGGGAAUAUUGCACAAUGGGCGCAAGCCUGAUGCAGCCAUGCCGCGUGUGUGAAGAAGGCCUUCGGGUUGUAAAGCACUUUCAGCGGGGAGGAAGGCGGUGAGGUUAAUAACCUCAUCGAUUGACGUUACCCGCAGAAGAAGCACCGGCUAACUCCGUGCCAGCAGCCGCGGUAAUACGGAGGGUGCAAGCGUUAAUCGGAAUUACUGGGCGUAAAGCGCACGCAGGCGGUCUGUCAAGUCGGAUGUGAAAUCCCCGGGCUCAACCUGGGAACUGCAUUCGAAACUGGCAGGCUAGAGUCUUGUAGAGGGGGGUAGAAUUCCAGGUGUAGCGGUGAAAUGCGUAGAGAUCUGGAGGAAUACCGGUGGCGAAGGCGGCCCCCUGGACAAAGACUGACGCUCAGGUGCGAAAGCGUGGGGAGCAAACAGGAUUAGAUACCCUGGUAGUCCACGCCGUAAACGAUGUCGAUUUGGAGGUUGUGCCCUUGAGGCGUGGCUUCCGGAGCUAACGCGUUAAAUCGACCGCCUGGGGAGUACGGCCGCAAGGUUAAAACUCAAAUGAAUUGACGGGGGCCCGCACAAGCGGUGGAGCAUGUGGUUUAAUUCGAUGCAACGCGAAGAACCUUACCUGGUCUUGACAUCCACAGAACUUUCCAGAGAUGGAUUGGUGCCUUCGGGAACUGUGAGACAGGUGCUGCAUGGCUGUCGUCAGCUCGUGUUGUGAAAUGUUGGGUUAAGUCCCGCAACGAGCGCAACCCUUAUCCUUUGUUGCCAGCGGUUCGGCCGGGAACUCAAAGGAGACUGCCAGUGAUAAACUGGAGGAAGGUGGGGAUGACGUCAAGUCAUCAUGGCCCUUACGACCAGGGCUACACACGUGCUACAAUGGCAUAUACAAAGAGAAGCGACCUCGCGAGAGCAAGCGGACCUCAUAAAGUAUGUCGUAGUCCGGAUUGGAGUCUGCAACUCGACUCCAUGAAGUCGGAAUCGCUAGUAAUCGUAGAUCAGAAUGCUACGGUGAAUACGUUCCCGGGCCUUGUACACACCGCCCGUCACACCAUGGGAGUGGGUUGCAAAAGAAGUAGGUAGCUUAACCUUCGGGAGGGCGCUUACCACUUUGUGAUUCAUGACUGGGGUGAAGUCGUAACAAGGUAACCGUAGGGGAACCUGCGGUUGGAUCACCUCCUUACCUUAAAGAA
rnacentral:rRNA from 1 species